CAAGUCGAACGAUUAAAGCCCCUUCGGGGGGUGUAUAAAGUGGCGAAAGGGCGAGGAAUACGUUCCUACGUACCCCGAGGUUUGGGAUAGCCCAGGGAAACCUGGAGUAAUACCAAAUGUGGUCUUCGGAUCAAAGAUUUAUCGCCUUGGGAGCGGGGAACGCCCUAUCAGCUUGUUGGUGAGGUAACGGCUCACCAAGGCUUUGACGGGUAGCGGGUGUGAGAGCAUGACCCGCCGCAUCGGGACUGAGACACUGCCCGG
rnacentral:rRNA from 1 species